AGAGUUUGAUCCUGGCUCAGAUUGAACGCUGGCGGCAUGCCUUACACAUGCAAGUCGAGCAGCAGCACGGAGCUUGCUCUGGUGGCGAGUGGCGAACGGGUGAGUAAUAUAUCGGAACGUGCCCUGGAGUGGGGGAUAACGUAGCGAAGGUUACGCUAAUACCGCAUACGAUCUACGGAUGAAAGUGGGGGACCUGCGAGAGCCUCAUGCUCGUGGAGCGGCCGAUAUCUGAUUAGCUAGUUGGUAGGGUAAAAGCCUACCAAGGCAUCGAUCAGUAGCUGGUCUGAGAGGACGACCAGCCACACUGGGACUGAGACACGGCCCAGACUCCUACGGGAGGCAGCAGUGGGGAAUUUUGGACAAUGGGGGCAACCCUGAUCCAGCAAUGCCGCGUGAGUGAAGAAGGCCUUCGGGUUGUAAAGCUCUUUUGUCGGGGAAGAAACGGAUUGNCUUAAUACGCUGGUCUAAUGACGGUACCCGAAGAAUAAGCACCGGCUAACUACGUGCCAGCAGCCGCGGUAAUACGUAGGGUGC
rnacentral:rRNA from 1 species